rnacentral:sRNA from 1 species
GGUGCUGUCCUCCUGGACACGCCAAAAGGCCUAUGCUGAGGACCGUCUCCCGAAGGCAGCUCCUUACUUAGCCUGGUCCUCGGCAUC